UGGCCUUUUUAUUAGUUGUUAGCAAAAUUAUACAUGCAAGAAUCAUCAACCCUGUGAAAAUGCCCUCCAAGUCAUCACCCUUGACCCAGAGGAGCGGGUAUCAAGCACACUAUUGUAGCUCACAACACCUUGCUUAGCCACACCCCCACGGGAUACAGCAGUAAUUAGAAUUAAGCAAUGAACGAAAGUUUGACUAAGUUAUGCAACAAUCAAGGGUUGGUAAAUCUCGUGCCAGCCACCGCGGUCAUACGAUUAACCCUAAUUAAUAAACCCCGGCGUAAAGAGUGUUAAAAGAAACAUCAAAAUAAGAUUAAAUCUUACCUAAGUCGUAAAAAACUAUAGGUAAAAACAAAACCAUAUACGAAAGUUAUCUUACUACCCCUAAAUACACUAAAGUUAAGAUCCAAACUGGGAUUAGAUACCCCACUAUGCUUAACCAUAAACAUAAGCAUUUCACAACAAAAAUGUCCGCCAGAGAACUACUAGCAACUGCUUAAAACUCAAAGGACUUGGCGGUGCUUUAAACCCACCUAGAGGAGCCUGUUCUAUAAUCGAUAAACCCCGAUAAACCUCACCACUUCUUGCUAAUUCAGUCUAUAUACCGCCAUCUUCAGCAAACCCUAAUAAGGAAAAAAAGUAAGCACAAACACGCCCAUAAAAACGUUAGGUCAAGGUGUAGCUAAUGAAGUGGGAAGAAAUGGGCUACAUUUUCUUAAUAAAAGAAAAUCAACAGUAAUCUUUUUGAAACCUAGAGAUUUAAGGAGGAUUUAGCAGUAAAUUAAGAAUAGAGAGCUUAAUUGAAUUAGGCCAUGAAGCACGCACACACCGCCCGUCACCCUCCUCAAAUAUUCACUCAAAUUUAUAUCUAAAUUAUAAAAAUACAAGAGGAGACAAGUCGUAACAAGGUAAGCGUACUGGAAAGUGUGCUUGGAUAAA
rnacentral:ncRNA from 1 species